rnacentral:rRNA from 1 species
GAUGAACGCUAGCGGCAGGCUUAACACAUGCAAGUCGAGGGGUAUGCCGAUUUAUCGGCAGAGACCGGCGCACGGGUGCGUAACGCGUAUGCAAUCUACCUUUCACAGAGGGAUAGCCCAGAGAAAUUUGGAUUAAUACCUCAUAGUAUAGCAGUUUCGCAUGAAACCACUAUUAAAGUCACAACGGUGAAAGAUGAGCAUGCGUCCCAUUAGCUAGUUGGUAAGGUAACGGCUUACCAAGGCAACGAUGGGUAGGGGUCCUGAGAGGGAGAUCCCCCACACUGGUACUGAGACACGGACCAGACUCCUACGGGAGGCAGCAGUGAGGAAUAUUGGACAAUGGGCGCAAGCCUGAUCCAGCCAUGCCGCGUGCAGGAUGACGGUCCUAUGGAUUGUAAACUGCUUUUAUACAAGAAGAAACACUACUUCGUGAAGUAGCUUGACGGUACUGUAAGAAUAAGGAUCGGCUAACUCCGUGCCAGC